rnacentral:rRNA from 1 species
UUAGAGUUUGAUCCUGGCUCAGGAUGAACGCUGGCGGCGUGCCUAAUACAUGCAAGUCGAGCGAGCUUGCCUAGAUGAUUUUAGUGCUUGCACUAAAUGAAACUAGAUACAAGCGAGCGGCGGACGGGUGAGUAACACGUGGGCAACCUGCCCAAAAGAGGGGGAUAACACUUGGAAACAGGUGCUAAUACCGCAUAACCAUAGUUACCGCAUGGUAACUAUGUAAAAGGUGGCUAUGCUACCGCUUUUGGAUGGGCCCGCGGCGCAUUAGCUAGUUGGUGAGGUAAAGGCUUACCAAGGCAAUGAUGCGUAGCCGAACUGAGAGGUUGAUCGGCCACAUUGGGACUGAGACACGGCCCAAACUCCUACGGGAGGCAGCAGUAGGGAAUCUUCCACAAUGGGCGAAAGCCUGAUGGAGCAACGCCGCGUGGGUGAAGAAGGUCUUCGGAUCGUAAAACCCUGUUGUUAGAAAAGAAAGUGCGUGAGAGUAACUGUUCACGUUUCGACGGUAUCUAACCAGAAAGCCACGGCUAACUACGUGCCAGCAGCCGCGGUAAUACGUAGGUGGCAAGCGUUAUCCGGAUUUAUUGGGCGUAAAGGGAACGCAGGCGGUCUUUUAAGUCUGAUGUGAAAGCCUUCGGCUUAACCGGAGUAGUGCAUUGGAAACUGGGAGACUUGAGUGCAGAAGAGGAGAGUGGAACUCCAUGUGUAGCGGUGAAAUGCGUAGAUAUAUGGAAGAACACCAGUGGCGAAAGCGGCUCUCUGGUCUGUAACUGACGCUGAGGUUCGAAAGCGUGGGUAGCAAACAGGAUUAGAUACCCUGGUAGUCCACGCCGUAAACGAUGAAUGCUAAGUGUUGGAGGGUUUCCGCCCUUCAGUGCUGCAGCUAACGCAAUAAGCAUUCCGCCUGGGGAGUACGACCGCAAGGUUGAAACUCAAAGGAAUUGACGGGGGCCCGCACAAGCGGUGGAGCAUGUGGUUUAAUUCGAAGCAACGCGAAGAACCUUACCAGGUCUUGACAUCUUCUGACAAUCCUAGAGAUAGGACUUUCCCUUCGGGGACAGAAUGACAGGUGGUGCAUGGUUGUCGUCAGCUCGUGUUGUGAGAUGUUGGGUUAAGUCCCGCAACGAGCGCAACCCUUAUUGUUAGUUGCCAGCAUUAAGUUGGGCACUCUAGCAAGACUGCCGGUGACAAACCGGAGGAAGGUGGGGAUGACGUCAAAUCAUCAUGCCCCUUAUGACCUGGGCUACACACGUGCUACAAUGGACGGUACAACGAGAAGCGAACCUGCGAAGGCAAGCGGAUCUCUUAAAGCUGUUCUCAGUUCGGACUGUAGGCUGCAACUCGCCUACACGAAGCUGGAAUCGCUAGUAAUCGCGGAUCAGCACGCCGCGGUGAAUACGUUCCCGGGCCUUGUACACACCGCCCGUCA